rnacentral:lncRNA from 1 species
AUGAUCCGUCGUUGGCAAUCAGCCAGUACUAGUGAAUUCAAAGACAAAAAGAUAAAUUAUCGUAACAAAUAUAUACUAUAUGAUAAGCACAGCAUGAACAACAAAACACACCAAAUUAAUUAGUAGAUACUAAUUAGAUACUAUCUUAAUCAUAAGCACACCAUUAAACAAUAAAACACACCUAAGUUAACAUAAGAUAUUAUAUAAUAGUAAGCUAAGAAGAUCAACUCUUGACUCUUGAAUAUAUAAUUAGCUGGUUUAGAGUACUAGUGGCAUCUUGAGAAGCUUGUUCACCAGCAUCUUCAUCUUCUCUAUGAAAAACCCUAAAACCCUGGACCAAAAGCUCCAAUGAUCAUGGUAAAUAUAUCCUCUCGAUGAUAAGAGAAUUUUAUACCCAUCAGUACUAUCACCAUUAAUGCUCCAAGCAAGCUCCGUGAACUCACCCCAGAAGCCCCCUUCUUGUUUUGCACUUACCCCCUCCAACUUGGUCACACUGGACAUAUCUUUACCCAUCACCCCUCUCACCGGAGACUUGAACAUGAACUGCAUGUCACCCACCGAUAAAUUAACCGUAUCGCGGUGCAGGUCAACUGUGAACUCUCCCGUGCCUUGGUUUAAUGUGUACGAUUUUACGUCUAGUGAACGAUGGAUUGCAACAAGGAUGUAUUUCUCUAGGAUGUGGUUAAAGGUUGUUGUGUCGUCGGUGACCGCAGUGGCAGUGGUGAAGAGUAGCAGGGAGAUGAAAAGGAGUAUCUUCGCCGGAGAUGACAUGUUUGACAGAAUUGAAUUGAAGUGGAAUAUGGUGAAGCUGGUAUGAUCAUGUGGGUUGUUGAGUUUGCCAUGACGAACUUUGAGAAGGCUAAAUCCUAUACCGUCAUGUAGCUGGAUGUCGUCAACUGUCCAGACAGACGUGAAAGAUUUUCGUUGGUUCCCUCCGAACAACAACUACAAGAACAUGGUGAUGGUCUUAAUUUGUUUGUGGAACAUGCAUAACGCACAACAAUACCUAAG